rnacentral:rRNA from 1 species
UACGGAGGAUCCAAGCGUUAUCCGGAUUUAUUGGGUUUAAAGGGUGCGUAGGCGGCCUUGUAAGUCAGGGGUGAAAGACGGUAGCUCAACUAUCGCAGUGCCCUUGAUACUGCAGGGCUUGAAUACGCUAGAGGUAGGCGGAAUGUGACAAGUAGCGGUGAAAUGCAUAGAUAUGUCGCAGAACCCCGAUUGCGAAGGCAGCUUACUAUGGUGCCAUUGACGCUUAGGCACGAAAGCGUGGGGAGCAAACAGG